rnacentral:rRNA from 1 species
AUUGAACGCUGGCGGCAGGCCUAACACAUGCAAGUCGAACGGUAGCACAGAGAGCUUGCUCUCGGGUGACGAGUGGCGGACGGGUGAGUAAUGUCUGGGAAACUGCCCGAUGGAGGGGGAUAACUACUGGAAACGGUAGCUAAUACCGCAUAACGUCGCAAGACCAAAGUGGGGGACCUUCGGGCCUCACACCAUCGGAUGUGCCCAGAUGGGAUUAGCUAGUAGGUGGGGUAAUGGCUCACCUAGGCGACGAUCCCUAGCUGGUCUGAGAGGAUGACCAGCCACACGGGAACUGAGACACGGUCCAGACUCCUACGGGAGGCAGCAGUGGGGAAUAUUGCACAAUGGGCGCAAGCCUGAUGCAGCCAUGCCGCGUGUAUGAAGAAGGCCUUCGGGUUGUAAAGUACUUUCAGCGGGGAGGAAGGCGGUGAAGUUAAUAGCUUCACCGAUUGACGUUACCCGCAGAAGAAGCACCGGCUAACUCCGUGCCAGCCGCCGCCGUAA